GGCGCUUCGCCUGAAUAUCUCUGAUUAGCAGCAACGUUGCGAGAGAUCUUGAAUCAGCUUGAAUAGCAGAGUCUUCCACGGAUUCAUCCGCCAAGAUCAAGAUAGAAUCAAAUGAUUCCAAGGGAAGACUUUCCAAGUGCCGGCGGAUGACAGCAUUUCCUUCGCGAUUGACCAGAGAAAUGUUUUCCAAUCGACUGAAUUCCAAACCUCCAUCGAGGAGCUUUUUU
rnacentral:misc_RNA from 1 species